rnacentral:rRNA from 2 species
GAUGGUUAUAUAGAGUCUGGCCUGCCCACUGACUUCGGUUGAAGGGCCGCGGUAUUUUGACCGUGCGAAGGUAGCAUAAUCAUUAGUCUUUUAAUUGGAGGCUUGUAUGAAUGGUUGAACAAAAAAUAAGCUGUCUCGAUUAUAAAAAUUGAAUUUAACUUUUAAGUGAAAAGGCUUAAAUGAUAUAGGGUGACGAUAAGACCCUAUAAAACUUUACAAUUAUUUAAUUGAAUGAUGAAUUGUUAGUAUAAAUUUGAUUCAAUUAAUGUUUGUUUCGUUGGGGCGACGAAAAUAUAAUUUUAUAACUGUUUUAUAAUUUUGUAACAAUGAUUUUUGGUGAAGAUGAUCCUUUAUUAGAGAUUAAAAGAUUAAGUUACUUUAGGGAUAACAGCGUAAUCUUCUUUGAAAGUUCAUAUCGACAAGAAGGGUUGCGACCUCGAUGUUGAAUUAAGGUUUCUUUGUGGUGCAGUAGUUACAGUGAGAAGGUCUGUUCGACCUUUA